ACGUAUAAUCUAGUGGACGGUUCUUCAUAAACAGCUCGUCAACCACCUCGGUAGCUUGCUAGCCAACAUAGCCGAAAGAUUCAAGCUAUUUAGACGCUUUCGGUGUAUAUUAGCUACUGUGUUUUAGCCACACUUCUGUCGUAUCUACUUGUUAACCUAUUUAAUUUAAUAUUACGUUAUUUGUUAUUAGUCAGCUAUAGUAGCUGGCUGGUUAAGUUAGCACUAGCCUAGUCGCUAAUGAUAGCUAGCUAGCUAACAUCCCCGAACAUGAGCUCCCUAAACUUCUCCCCUCUUGUUAAAGAAGAGGCAGUCUGCUGGACGGAGAAAGGAGGUCUGUGGCUGAACGUUGUGGUGAAAGAGGAGGCGGAAGAAGAGGCUGUCACAGUAAAACAAGAAGUAGAGGAUGGGGCUGUUACAGUGAAAGAAGAGGAAGACGCGUUCAGAGUGAAAGAGGAGGAGGAGGAUGUAGUUUUUGGUGUGAAAGAAGAGGAGGUUGGAGAUCUGUUUAACACCAGUAGCUAGCUACCAGCCAUGGAGGAGGGUGAAAGGAUAGCAGCCCCAACUGUCAGUGAGAGAGGAGGCUAUUCUGGAUAGGGCAGGUACUUUUGUGUAGUUCCUGUCCCUAGAAGUGAGGACGGAGAUAAUAGUAACAUAAUAUUCAGUGUGGUGUAAUUUGACUAUAAUGAAGUGUGUUUCUUGUGAGGUUUUCUGUCCUCAGAUAAAGAGCGCUAUGAAAGCCAGUCUACAUAUGAAGAGGUCCCAAUGAAGAGCAGUGGUUCUCAGUCCUGGGGACUCAAAGAGGCACAUUGUUGUUUUUGUCUCAGCACUGCACAGCUGAUUCAAAUGAUCAACUCAUCAUCAAGCUUCAAGUGGUAUUUAUGUAGUCAUUUGUGAUGUCAUCCUUGAUAUGAUCCUGUUAUUGUCACAUGCUACACAUGUACAUAUGUGUGCCCAUGCAUCUAUCAAUCCAAUGUUAUCAUGAUUUGUUAUCAGGGAUAUUAUACUUUAGUAAUCCACAAUGACUUGGUGAUGUAACAGUUACAUUGUCUUGGUUAGGUGCUGUUCCCUGGCAACACCAUAGACUACACUAUGCACAACCAAAGGUUCUUUUAAGAGGGUGCUGUUCCCUGGCAACACCAUAGACUACACUAUGCACAACCAAAGGCUCUUUUAAGAGGGUGCUGUUCCCUGGCAACACCAUAGACUACACUAUGCACAACCAAAGGCUCUUUUAAGAGGGUGCUGUUCCCUGGCAACACCAUAGACUACACUAUGCACAACCAAAGGCUCUUUUAAGAGGGUGCUGUUCCCUGGCAACACCAUAGACUACACUAUGCACAACCAAAGGCUAUUUUAAGAGCCAUCAACAUUGCAAUAAGAGUAUUCUUCCAUUUACUUAGCUAUGUCAACUGCAGUUAUUAAAUUCAUAGUUUCUCUCCCUUUGAUUUCUACUUCUCAGGUGAGGGUGCAGUUUAGGUAAGGGUUUGAUGUCUGUGCAAAAACAUCUUAAAUCACCCAUAUGGAAAAAAUGUAGAACAAUUAGACACCCUAUAACCCACACCUACACACUCGUGUAUCAAUCUGAUUGAUGGAUUGUGUUCUGCAGUAAACAGGCUCAGGUGUAUAACUGUGGCUCCUUCCACCUUCAAAGAAUAGGCAAGAGGGCCAACCAUAGAGAAUAGUAAGACACUUCAUUAUUUCUAUAACUACGCUAUAUUGUUUGUCUUUGUGUGCCCGUUCAUGUUUUUCAGCAUAAAGUACUCUGCAGCCACUUAGUGUGGUGUGGACACCAGGUGAGGCCACACACAGAUUCCUGUUGAACACUGUGGCUUUAACUACCUUAUUUUCUCAAUAACAGUCUCUCUCCUUCACUUCAUCCCUCUCUCCCCUUCUCCCUAAAUCCUCUAGGUUAUAUCAGCUGUGUCGGUGAACCCCUCCUACAUCUGAACUGGCUACAUAGAGGGCACAGCAUGAUCAGAGAUAUGUUUUGAUGUGAGAGGAUGCCAACCCCUAGUCCCAUCAUCGCCACCUCAGCUGCUUUUAAGAUAACCUUUGGGCCGACUAGAGACACUGUUAUGUAAUUGUGAUGAACUGAGAGAAUAUUUAUGUAGCACUGUGAUUCAUUAAUCAUGUGCUGCCUUCCCUGCUCCUAUGUGCUUACCUCUUUCCCUUUCUGUCUUUUACACCUCUCUCUCACCUCCUCUUUCUUCCUCUGUUUUUAUAAUGCACAACAGAUGUGCAUUGAAGUACAGAUUGAACUUGUAUUUAUAACACUUGGAUAAUGAGCUUUUCAAUAAAGCGUUUCACAUUC